UACGGUAGGGUGCGAGCGUUGUCCGGAUUUAUUGGGCGUAAAGAGCGUGUAGGCGGCCUGAAAGGUCAGCUGUGAAAACUCGGGGGCUCAACCCCGAGACGUCGGUUGAAACCAUCUGGCUAGAGUCCGGAAGAGGAGUGUGGAAUUCCCGGUGUAGCGGUGAAAUGCGCAGAUAUCAGGAGGAACACCGGUGGCGAAGGCGGGUCUCUGGGCAGUAACUGACGCUGAGGAGCGAAAGCGUGGGGAGCGAACAGG
rnacentral:rRNA from 1 species